UACGAAGGGGGCAAGCGUUGUCCGGAAUUACUGGGCGUAAAGGGCGCGUAGGCGGCUUAUCAAGUCAGGCGUGAAAUUCCCGGGCUCAACCUGGGGGCUGCGCUUGAUACUGAUUGGCUUGAAUGCGGGAGAGGAUAGUGGAAUUCCCAGUGUAGAGGUGAAAUUCGUAGAUAUUGGGAAGAACACCGGUGGCGAAGGCGGCUAUCUGGCCCGUAAUUGACGCUGAGGCGCGAAAGCGUGGGGAUCAAACAGG
rnacentral:rRNA from 1 species